ensembl:lncRNA
GGCAAACACACCGGUGUGAGGCCAGGUGUGUGUCCUGCAUGGGCUCCAAACCUUUCUCCCUUUGGCAACUCACACCUCAGCACCAGGAGCAGCCCACAGAACACCCAGCAGCACCUACACAGGACCGUGGCUGUGGUUGUUUCUGAGCGAGGCAAAGGGCAACGUCCCCAUCCUGCUGCCCAAGAAAACAUCCCUGAGCCAGCUUCAGCCUCUUUAGAUCUCUGCAGUUUGGGCACAGAACUUCCGAUCUGUCUUCUGCUCUGACACAUUUUGAGAAUGAGCAAAUAAAAGGAGAAAGGGAAGUCAAAAUGAGAAAGAAGGCUGACUGCAGUCUGCAAACCGAGCGCUACAAGAGACGGAUGUGGUGUGGGCAUGAAGUCAAAUCACAACAGAACAUUGAGACGAGAUUUUCUUCUGGAAAUAAACAGAGGGGAAAAGUGCUGUUUCUCAAAAAGAAAAAAAAAUGAAGAAGGAAGAAAAAGGAGAAAAGGAGAAAAGGAGAAAAGGAGAAAAGGAGAAAAGGAGAAAAGGAGAAAAGGAGAAAAGGAGAAAAGGAGAAAAGGAGAAAAGGAGAAAAGGAGAAAAGGAGAAAAGGAGAAAAGGAGAAAAGGAGAAAAGGAGAAAAGGAGAAAAGGAGAAAAGGAGGAUAGAUGUUACAGAACAGUUGGAGGAAUGCCUGGAAUGAGACAUCCCUGUACAAGAAAUGCAAAAAUCCUAAUAGCCUUUUAUAUAUUCAUGAAUUAAGUGACAGAAAGGCUAAGCAGGAAAGUCCCACUGUUACAGAAGGGAAUAUUCACACAGCUCCUAUUAGCUGUUGUUUUCCAACACUGCAGUCUUCAGGGGAAUUAACACAUUUCCUAUUGAGAAAGAGGAAAACAAGACAGCUCAUUUAUCUGGAGGAGCGUCCCCGUCUUAUCACAGUAUCUGAGCAGAUCAAAGCUACCAGACACCACCAGAACCAGCACCAAAAGAUGUGGAACAUCUGAAGAAACUCUUCAUUCCAUCAUGUAAAUUAAAUGGCAAAAAAAAAAAAAAAUGUUUGUGGCUCCACUGCCUUUAGAGAUGUUUUGCUGCAGUGCUGACAUAGUGGCAAUGAAUCUGCUCUCACCGUUAGAAAAGUAUAAUGGACUGCCUGAGUCUGUGCCUCCUGCUCAAACCUGUAAGGCAUACAGAGACAAAAAGUAUUUGGCAGUGCUUAAAAUACCUCAUCCUCGUUUGUAUCUGUGCUUCUCAAUCUGCUGAAAGGAACUGCAUCUAGCUUGAAAACUUUCAGCUGAAAGGGAUUCUGUAACUUUAUUUUCCAUGUGUGCCCUUAAAAUGGUGUGAAUUUCUAAGGAAUCCUAGGAGUUUCAGUCAGUUUUUACACUGACACACAAGUUUUUCAUAUCAUGUAACAAGUGCCAACGAUGUUACCCAUACUUCAAUGCUAUCUCCAUAAAAAUUUUCUAAGUAGACUUCGUUAAAAAAAACCAACCAACGAAGUCCAUAAGAUCACCUGCACAAAAUGAGAAAAGUGAGUGUGAUUUAUUCAGUGCCCUGCUAGUUUAAGAGAUUAAAGCUAUUACCAUGAUCAUCACAAAGAUUUGCAGUGAUCUGUAAGUGUGAAGGUUUGACUACACGGAGUAUAUCCGGAUGGUGCCCUCCGACUCCUGCUCUUUGUAUUACUUCAACUAAGGAGGAGUAGCAAUAGUUAAUCAACUUCUCUGACUCUUUGAAAUUUGCAGACCCAGAAAUUAAACCUGCGAAGCGCUGGGUAUCUCCUGCUCUUAGCGUAGCCAGGAUGGAGUCCCAAAAGACCAUUAGGUAAAUUUGAAGUAAUCUUAUAUAACUAAUGGAAAAAUCCUGUGACUUUUGGACAGCAGGUGGGUUUAUGAAACAAUCUCCUAACACCACCAGAAGCCAGUUGAGAGAUUACAAGUGCCAUAAUCUGCUCUAACAGUCCUCCUUUAACUCCUGUGCGCUGAAAUUCUAACCAGGGAAUGAGAUGGAGGUACGUCUUUAUGUCUUUUAAAUUGUUAUUUGAUUAAAAGUAAGCUGCUGCAUCAUCUGAUACAAUGCAGUUCUCAUGCUGGGAAGUCGCGAACGUAAACUGUGCUCUAUUAAACCCGUUAGCAGUCGUUAAAAUGCAGAGCGCUGCUGGCACCUUUUAGAGCAACUACUAAAAUAUGCAUCAUGUGGGCACCUUAAAUGAGUCAUUUUUAAAAAGAUUUAUUUUUCAAUCAUUCUAUAAACAAGAAUAAAUCAAAACAAUUCAGUCUUUCACCCCACUGAGAUAAAGUAAGUGCAAAUGCUGUUUCAAAGUUAAUUGGCUCUGAAAUAUUUAAGUCUGGGGAAAAUAAUUUUGAAUGACAGAAUUUUAGAAAAACAUCUAUAUUUAUUUCUAUAUCCAUCAUAUUCCUUUACAUUUGUAGCUCAUGAGGCAUAAAAUUUUUUUAAUAGGUUAGCACAACUACAUGCAAAUGCUAGGAAAUGCAUUAUUCCUCAUAUGAAAUCGGGUUAAUAUUUGUCCUUAUUCUACUGCAGAAAUAAAAUGCACAGACAUGAAUAAAAACGAAAUGUAAAUGGUCUAAGUGUGGCUGGUGACAAAAAUUAAAGCUUUGAUCUACCGC